UACGUAGGGUGCAAGCGUUAAUCGGAAUUACUGGGCGUAAAGCGUGCGCAGGCGGUCCGUUAAGACAGAUGUGAAAUCCCCGGGCUUAACCUGGGAACUGCAUUUGUGACUGGCGGACUCGAGUAUGGCAGAGGGGGGUAGAAUUCCACGUGUAGCAGUGAAAUGCGUAGAGAUGUGGAGGAAUACCGAUGGCGAAGGCAGCCCCCUGGGCCAAUACUGACGCUCAUGCACGAAAGCGUGGGGAGCGAACAGG
rnacentral:rRNA from 1 species